rnacentral:lncRNA from 1 species
UUGUAUUUGGUUGGGAAAUACAUUCCCGAUUUUUAUCACUGGGUGUUUCUUGGGUUUUAUAUCAGGCAGCACAUAAAGCAAGUCCUGCAUUAGCAGUCUCUGAACUAUUUUUAUUACAAUGUAGUCUGAUUACAUAUGCAAGAGCAACCGCAUAUAAUUUUAGUAAGUUAUUGGCUGUUACUAGAAAUGAAGGGUUUUAGAACAAAUGUACUUCUUUCAUUAGCUCUCACUCAUGACCUAUGAACUGUGUAACUUUUGAUUGAUGUUCUACUUUAUAGUUCUUUUGUUUAACCUCAAAAAAGUUUGAUUUGUGUUGUUUCAGCAGAUAUUGAUAUUGACUGCAACUGGAAAAAUUUCGUUUGCUCAACUGUCGCAUGUAUCGAUAAUCUUAACUAACUCCAGAUCCUUGCCCUUGGUUUUCGUUCUUGCUCUGUGUAUUAAGAUACAUGUAUACACUAUUCACAACUUGGCUGCCAUAGGAAGGCUGCAAUAUUUCCUGAAACAACACAUGUCAAUAUUCCUUUACGUUAAGAAACCAGAAAGAGAAGUAGGUCUCAAAUUUUGCAAGCUGGUUUAGACGAGUUAUUACUUGGUAAAGAAUUGUGAAUAUUUUAUUAACUUACGGUAGUGGUGCCAAUAAAUUACGUUUCGGAGAUAAAAAUGUUUAUCCAUGUGAUGCUGUUGCAAUAUAUCCGCAUUAUAUGUUUAUCCAUCAGUUGCAGGCGAAGCAAAUACACGAGUAACUAUUUUCCCUCCUGCAGUAUUCUGCCAUAUUGGAAAGUUCAAUUUCGUAACCAUGGUUAUGGACACACCUUCGUCACACCUCUUUAUUGCUCCAAUCAGAGCUUGCGUGUAGCUUUCCCAGAAUGCCCCCUGCAAUCGUAAAUUAGUUCAUCUUCACUUCAUAUUUCCAUGUGAAACACAAAUGCCCCGUUUUAUUCCUUCCAGUAGCCGUAAUAGUUCUAUUUUGUAUUCGAAAUCUUGAGCUAGCCUUUCGUAGGGUGGAGUUUUUCUUGCAAGUCUUUACAACCGACUUCAACUCAUUCAGAAGAGUAAACCUUUCAUGUUUUCGCGAUCUAUGGCCCUCAACAAUUCGAUGAGGAACAAAGUUAUUGUGGAAACUGUGAGAUAGCCGUUUUGAGGUAUGUAGUUGGGUAGUACAAUGUACUACAGACGCUGCCCCACAAGUCAGUGGCACCGAUGCAUAAAUCAGCCUGUGUGGUGGAAUGUCCAUAGGCAUUCUCCCUUGACAUGUGUAUGAUGGUUGAUGGCUUUCGAUUCUAUUGAGAUUUAUCCAAGCCAGGCCUUCCUGGUGAAAGAUUUAGAAUAAGUGACUGAAUUAGUUAUCAAUUGUUUACUCUAAGACUCCCGUAAUUCUGCAAAAUGCUGGGUUUGGUGAUAGGUUGUGUCCUCACUACUAGGAGCUAUACCAUUUUUUAACAGUUAGGAAAAUCAACUUUAAUUUGCAUUACUAUAUGGCAAGGUAAUUUAGAGGUAAAUACCAGCACUGAUUUGGUUCUUACUUGUUUGGUACUUUUCCUUGUACGCCAUUUCCACUGAAAUGAUCAUAACCCAUGUAUUUUUGUUUUGAAAGGCACCAACUUUAAAAUUAAAAAGUUUACUUCAAGUGCAAUACAAUGAAUCACUUGCUAACUUUG